GUGUUCUCACUUCAGCAGCACAUUUACUAAAGCUGGAAGGCUACGGAGAUUAGCAUGGCCCCUGGGCAAGGACAACAUGCAAAUCUGUGAAGCAUUUCAUAAUUUU
ensembl:snRNA U6 U6 spliceosomal RNA